UACAGAGGGGGCAAGCGUUGUUCGGAAUUACUGGGCGUAAAGGGCGCGUAGGCGGCCUUCUAAGUCGAACGUGAAAUCCCCGGGCUCAACCUGGGAACUGCGUUGGAAACUACGAGGCUAGAGUACGGCAGAGGGGGGUGGAAUUCCACGUGUAGCAGUGAAAUGCGUAGAUAUGUGGAGGAACACCGAUGGCGAAGGCAGCCCCCUGGGCUAGUACUGACGCUCAUGCACGAAAGCGUGGGGAGCAAACAGG
rnacentral:rRNA from 1 species